UUUGUGGUUGGAGGUUGUGAAUCAUACUCGGACGAUAGUUAAGGGAGUCCAAGUAUACUUUUUCCUUACCUAGCGUCUCGAUUCCAGCCCAACUAGCGCCACUCCCACCUGGGCCACCACCCACAUCACUCGUCGCCGUUCCUAAACCCAAGAGAACUCCUCCCCUCACGCCAAUGCCGGCCUCGUCCGCGCCGCCGCCGGGAGAGAGAGUGACCGAGGCGGCGGCAGGAGCAGCCCGUGCGAGAGAGUGAGAGGGAGGAAGGGACCAUGCGAGGAGGCAGUAAAGCGCGGGCGCACGCAGCGCCGCCACUUCAAGCAGGGGCGCGAGGUCCUCUGGAAGCACAAUCCCCCAGCGCCCUCCAGCCGCUUUUGCUUCCAAUUUCCCUACCAAAGCACGUCCAACACAACUGGAACUCCCUCUUUGUACGUGUCGUUGAAUACCGUGGAGUUGAGGUAAGUGGUGCUAAAUUGGAAGGCCUUAUCCUCCAUCACCGCCAUGUAGCUGCAAGGGCUGCUCCUCCAUAUUUUGCUAUCAUUGUAAUCUUCGUCAAAAUAACCAUCAUAACUAUAUAUGUGUCCUGGAACAUCCAUCUGGCAACAGCCACCGCCGGAGCAAGAUCCAUUCACAGGUGUUGAACCAUUACAUGUCGAGAAGCAACCAAUUACGUACUGUGGAAUUUGCAUAUGUAUUAUUAGACCAAGAAGUAGUGAACUCUGCCACUGUUUUCUUUAUUAAAAAAAGAAUAAACACUUA